CAAGAGAAUAAGCGCAAACGGCGGAUGCCUUGGCAGUCAGAGGCGAUGAAAGACGUGAUAGCCUGCGAAAAGCUUCGGGGAGUUGGCAAAUAAGCAUUGAUCCGGAGAUGUCUGAAUGGGGGAACCCGAUCGGAAGACAGAAGACAGAGGACGGAAAGCAGAGUUUUUUCGAGUAGCCUAUGUUUUGUGUCUUCCGAUCAUUCAGAUGGCGGAAAAUAGCGGAUUAGAAACGGUAAUUUGAUUUUAGAGACGUGAUAUUUAAUUUUAGUUUUAAAUAAUUGUAUUUGAAUUUUAAAAUUAAAGGCAUCGCGCAGCGAUUCAACAACUGUCUUCUGUCCUCUGUUUUCCGUCAUCUGAAAGCGAACGUGGGGAACUGAAACAUCUAAGUACCCACAGGAAAAGAAAUCAACCGAGAUUCCCUCAGUAGCGGCGAGCGAACGGGGAAGAGCCUGGCAUAUUUUAGCACAUAGAUUAGUUGAACAUUCUGGGAAGGAUGGCCAUAGCAGGUGAUAGCCCUGUAGACGAAAAUUUAUGAGUGGAACUAGGUAUGCGAAUAAGUAGGGCGGGACACGUGAAAUCCUGUUUGAAGAUGGGGGGACCAUCCUCCAAGGCUAAAUACUACUGACUGACCGAUAGUGAACCAGUACCGUGAGGGAAAGGCGAAAAGAACCCCGAUAAGGGGAGUGAAAUAGAACCUGAAACCGUUUGCGUACAAGCAGUGGGAGUAUGUUNNNNNNNNNNNNNNNNNNNNNNNNNNNNNNNNNNNNNNNNNNNNNNNNNNNNNNNNNNNNNNNNNNNNNNNNNNNNNNNNNNNNNNNNNNAGGAUGACUGCGUACCUUUUGUAUAAUGGGUCAGCGAGUUACUUUUAGUGGCGAGGAUAACUGAAUAAGGGAUCCGUAGCGAAAGCGAGUUUUAAUAGAGCGAUUAGUCGCUAGGAGUAGACCCGAAACCGACGCGAUCUAUCCAUGACCAGGUUGAAGGUUGGGUAACACCAACUGGAGGACCGAACCCGGUAAUGUUGCAAAAUUAUGGGAUGAGUUGUGGAUCGGAGUGAAAGGCUAAUCAAGCGCGGAGAUAGCUGGUUCUCCCCGAAAACUAUUUAGGUAGUGCCUUGUGAAUGACUCGUUGGGGUAAAGCACUGUUUCGACUAGGGGGGUUUUGCGACCUUACCGACUCGAUGCAAACUUAGAAUACGACGAAGUUGAAUCACAGGAGACACACGGCGGGUGCUAAGGUCCGUCGUGGAGAGGGAAAGAGCCCAGACCGCCAGCUAAGGUCCCUAAGUUAUCGCUAAGUGGUAAACGAUGUGAGAAGGCAUAGACAGCCAGGAGGUUGGCUUAGAAGCAGCCAACCUUUAAAGAAAGCGUAAUAGCUCACUGGUCGAGUCGGCUUGCGCGAAAGAUUUAACGGGGCUAAGCGAUACACCGAAGCUGCGGAUUCAGAGGACAGAAAACAGAAGACAGAGGACAGAAUAAUGAAAGCUAUAGAAAAGUUUGAAGACUUAAUGGUUUUUCAGAAAGCAUAUAAAGUUUCAUUGGAAAUACAUAAGUUAAGCUUGGAGAUGCCGAAAGUUGAGCAAUAUGCUCUGGCGGAUCAAGUAAGGCGAGCGAGCAAGUCAAUUUGCGCAAAUAUUGCGGAAGGAUUUGGAAAGCAAAGUAUAUCCAAGGUUGAUUUUAAACGUUAUUUGGCAAUAGCGAUUGGAUCGGCUGAAGAGAUGCGAGUAUGGAUAAGAUAUUGUUACGAUCUGGAUUAUAUUACUAAGUCUGAUUGGGAAAGAUUUAGCGAUGAGUAUCGAGAUAUAGCAAAGAUGUUAAGUGGUCUUCAUAAGAAGUGGAUGUAGUUUUGAUUUAUCUGUUUUCAGUCAUCUGUCAUCUGUCCUCUGAGUGGUAGGGGAGCGUUCUGUAAGUUGAAGAAGGUGAAUUGAGAAGUUUGCUGGAGAUAUCAGAAGUGCGAAUGCUGACAUGAGUAACGAUAAAUAAGUGAGAUUCUUAUUGGCCGAAAACCCAAGGUUUCCUACGCAAUGUUAAUCAACGUAGGGUAAGUCGGCCCCUAAGGCGAAUCCGAAGGGAGUAGUCGAUGGGAAACAGGUUAAUAUUCCUGUACCGAUUGUAAUUGCGAUGGAGAGACGGAGAAAGCUAGGUCUGCCCGGCGGAUGGUUGUCCGGGUGAAAGCGUGUAGGUAGUAUGUUUAGGUAAAUCCGGACAUAUGUUGAUCUGAGGCGUGAGACGAAGUCGAGCUUGCUUGACGAAGAGAUUGAUGCUCUGCUUCCAGGAAAACCUUCUAAGCAUAGAUUAUGAUUGACCGUACUGUAAACCGACACUGGUGGGUGGGUAGAGAAUACCAAGGCGAUGAGAGAACCCAGGUGAAGGAACUAGGCAAAAUGACACCGUAACUUCGGGAGAAGGUGUGCCCCAUUAGGGUGAAGGACGCACGUCUGGAGCUUGAAGGGGUUGCAGAUACCAGGUGGCUGCGACUGUUUACUAAAAACACAGCACUCUGCGAACUCGAAAGAGGAAGUAUAGGGUGUGACGCCUGCCCGGUGCCGGAAGGUUAAUUGAAGGGGUUAUCCU
rnacentral:rRNA from 1 species